rnacentral:lncRNA from 1 species
ACUUAGAAAACUCUGUCAACUUCCCCAUAAGAUCAUGUUUGCUGUUUGCUGUUUCUUGUAGUGGUGACAGUAGGUUUCUGGUUUUUUUUUUUUUUUUUUCUGUUCUGGGUUAGAAGGCCCAGGGGUCCCAGUGCCACACCACCCAUGGGAGGUUCCAGAACUUCCCUUGCUUGGCAAGAAUCUAAUCUCUCUUUCUACUGCCUCCCUGGCUCUCGCUCCAGUUGAGCUCCCAGAGACUUUCGGGAGUCUAGAGCUUACACUUGGCAUUCAGUUACAUUUGGAUUGCAGAUAAACAAGAGGUUUUAGAAUCACCGUGUUCCAUGCUAUACCUGGUUAGAAAGCGUUUUUACCAUUCUGAUCCUCACGUGUUCUGACAGUUGGUAGAGGUGUGGCCCAGGCCUUGGAAUGCUUUAAGAAUGCCACAGGUGACGCUAAUUUAGUUAGGUCUCCUGUGAAGAGGGUGUGGCUCUUUCUAAGUUGAAGGGUCUGCAGUGAUUUGCCAAGGUCCAGGAAGGUUGGGGCCGUGAAGGAAGUACACCUUUCAUGUGACACUUAGCCAUCCUUGUAUUCCACUGGGAGCCAAACAAGAUGAGCUUCUGUCUCCCUGAUUUGUUUCCUUUUAUUUUUGAAUUAGCCACUUUUUUUUAGACCAGUAGUUUUCUUUGAGACUCUACAGAGGAAGUUCCUUUUGAAAAUUUUAUUUCUGAUAUACUAAAACCACAAAUCUCAAGGACCAAGCAGAACGCCAGGCCUUGAGCCUGAGUCUGCCAGUUUGGCAGUGUGCUGGUGUCAUACCUGAUGCUGGAGGGCCUGGGAGUGGAACACAGGAGUGGCGUGCCUGGCAUGAGGUUCAGUCCCUGGCAGCAUGGAAGAAAGUUGAUGACAGAACCACCUCUGACUUCCAUAUAUAAUUGGUAGCACAGUGUGGCCCGGCACCUGUGUCUUCAAUGGCCUUCCCAAGUGUUGUUCAUGCACAGAUCAAGGUGGAGGCCCGUAAAUCAUGUGAAAUGUCUGCUGAGGUCAGCAGGGCUGGAGAAGCUUGUGUGUGGCCCAGAGGAUGGGUAAUUAUGCCACUGAGUGGUCCUUGCCCUGAGAGUCCAGCUGUUCCCACUACUCUGAAAGUCUCACCCUAGACGGACAGGAUAUAAGUGCCAGCAUUUGACUGGGCAUAGGCCCAUUAGGAAUUGGAGGCAGGUAGGCGGGAAGAGCUGGACCUUGAGAGCAGCCUAGACGCAGUGGCCACUUGUCUCCGCGGGCUUUGUCCAUUUCAUAAGGGUGUCUCAGUUGCUUCCCUGUCAGUGCCAAAUCAGCAGCACCCAGCCCACACUCUGGAGAACUCUAGGUGAUGGUCUGAUAGCUAGUUAGUCCUGAGUUGUGGUCCUUCUGCUUCUGAUGGUCCUGGGGCUGUUGGUACAUACCGGGCUGUGUAAGGGAUCCAGAGACUCUACAGCAAGGCCUAAAGAAUAAGGAGGACUUCACUCAUCUGAGGGGCAUUGGCAAAUCUACACCUGUCUAGAUAGGACUGAUGGGAGUGGGAAAGGUACAGGGUGGUCACCAGGCUAGUCACCAGGAUGUCCAGUGACUCUGUCGAGGUCCAGGUGAAGCUCUUUAGGGCCUCAGUGAUGCCUGUUAUCCCCAGUCUUUCCUCACUGGGGCCCAGCGCUUCCCUCUGGUGGCUCCUCAGGCUGGUAUCACUAGCAUGCGCUUGACGAGGGGCCUCCAGUUAGAGCAGCCAGAUCUUGGAAAGGACCUCCCUGUCCUGACUUGGACCCUGACAGAACGUACUUGCAAUGGGUUUAUCAGGAAAGGGUAGAGGUAGCACCUUCAGGGCGGGGCAGCUCUGUGGCUCUGUCGCUCUGUCAUCGUUAGCUCUGUGGCUCUGACAUCGUUAGCUCUGUGGCUCUGACAUCGUUUAGCUGCUCUGCUAAGAAAAAAAGCCACUUGCAGAAAAGGCUUUGUUUCUGGAAGCAUAGUCAGGUUACCAGCCUUGUCGCUCUGUGCACUAGGGGCUGGGUAGCUUUGGUGUUCCUUCCUUGUGGACUCCUCCUCUUCCCAUUGUGACUGUAUCGUAGGGAUGUGCAUUCCUGAGGUACCAUAUGGAGGACAGAGUCCCAGGCCACCUCUCCUGCAGGCCUAACUUCUGGUGGCCCUGUCUCGUGUUGGGACUGUCUUCUUUACCGUUCUGCACUGUUUCUUGUCUGCAUGGUUUGGGGUCCUCGUGCCUUUUUACCUUGUUACCACCACACAGGAUUCUCUGUUACCCACUGCCCCCUUUUGUACGUCCCCUUCCCCCAUCUCCCCCAGUCCUGUGCGUACUCACGUGUGCAGCCAUAUGGCUCAACUGAGGCCAGCUGGCAAACACUUUACCCCACACCAGGCCGACUUCCCAUAGCUCCCCAGCUCUGUUGACUUGGUAACUUUUGUACAGGAUUUUGUUACAAUCUUAAGCAUAGGGACCACUUAAUCCCCAUGUACCUGCAGCUAGUUUAGAAGCCCUGCAUCCCAGACAAGGGUAGCUUUGUGCAGACCAGCCUCUCCCGCAAACCUCUUCCUCGUGGGUUCAGGUAUUUAUAAAAGACAGAUUUCCUUUAAAAUGAGGCCCUGGCCCUAGCAGGGAGGUGACAGGUCUACAAAGCUCUGUGCAUGGCUCUUCUGGAGGAAGCCCCAGCCAUGUGGUUUCCAGUGCUUGGCAAUACAUCUGGGUUUAGGGCCAUUGCCUCUCGUGUCUCCCCUGAUUUGUGCUGAAGGAAGUCACUUGCCACUGUCCCUGCCUGCUGUCACUACCUGUCCAGCCCUUCCUUGUUUGCUGGUGCUCAGACCAGAGUGCCAUUAAUCACCAGACCAACGUCAGGACCUGCACAGGACAGAGUGCGCUGAGGACUCUCGGCCGGCUGCCUCCCAGCUUCAGCUCCCAUGGGGCUGGGCCUUCUGGGGUCCAGGUGGAAGAAGCUAUAGGCAGAUAGGCUCUGCCUUUCCAGGGAUUACAUCUGGGGCUUUGCCUCAGAAGCCAGUGGUUGCAGAUGGCCUUAGCUUUGGGCUUGGGAAGGAGCUUCCACUUUAGGCCCCAGGGAAGGGAGAAUGGGGUACAGCCCAGGCCCUGAACUGUUUGUUUCCACUCUGUUCUCUCCAGAAACAGGCUUUCAGUGGGGGGCACCUUCCAAGGAACUGUAUUGUACAGACCACAGUGUAAAUAAAAAGUUGGCUUUUU